AAAUAGCAUGUUCCUAUGCCUGAAAAGACGAGAAGACGUGUUCAGGAGGCUGGCAAGAUUUAAGCUUAUGUCCGAUGUCAAAGGGCCUUCUGCAAGCCAAGGAAGAUGGCAUAGAAAAGAAGAAAUAUGCACCCUAAGAGGUCUCGCUAAGAGACAAAAGAAGUCCAGCAGCCUAGCAUGUUGCUUUGGUCCUAUAGAAGGAAAGACACUUGAGUUGUAAAUAAGGUAUGAAGGAAUUAUCUCAGAGGCAGAAGCUUGAAGAAAAAAAAAGAAAGAAAGAAAAAAAGAAAAGAGAAAGAAAAAGAGAAAGAAAAGAAGAAAAAGAAAAAGAAGAAGAAAGAGGGAAAAAACAACCACCCAGGACUUUUGAGGGCAGACAGAGUCUUGCUAUGUAGCUAGACUGUUAUUCUUGGUCCCUUAGCCUCCUGGGUGCUGGGGUUCCAGGCACAAGACACCAUGUCCAGCUCUUUGUCUAGGUUGGUGAAAUAUACACGACAAGAAUCAAACAGAAGAAAUAUAAGAAAGCUACAGCAUUAGUGGGAAGGUUUUCAUUAAUUUGCAAUUGUUUUGUGUGAGUAUAUAUUUUUCUAAAGAGAAAGUUCUCAAAUUUUCC
rnacentral:lncRNA from 1 species